rnacentral:rRNA from 1 species
GUGGAUUAGAUACCCUAGUAGUCCACGCUGUAAACGAUGGGCACUAGGUGUCCGGGGUAUUGACCCCCUGGGUGCCGCAGCUAACGCAUUAAGUGCCCCGCCUGGGGAGUACGGUCGCAAGAUUAAAACUCAAAGGAAUUGACGGGGGCCCGCACAAGCGGUGGAGCAUGUGGUUCAAUUCGACGCAACGCGAAGAACCUUACCUGGGCUAGACAACGGCGGACCGUCCUAGAAAUAGGAUCUUCCCUUCGGGGACCACCGGUUCAGGUGCUGCACGGCUGUCGCCAACU